rfam:Puccinia sorghi strain RO10H11247 Scaffold_57, whole genome shotgun sequence.
GCACACUUAUCUUAGUGGUUAAAGAAUCACUCAGGAAGUCUGAGGUCAUGGGCUCAAUUCCCAUAGUGCACA